rnacentral:SRP_RNA from 1 species
CUGCACCAGUCGGGGAGCCAGCGGUGCCCUGUAACCUGCAAUCCGCUAUAGCAGGGAUGGAUUCCCAAGUGAGGAUAUGUGAUGUGUCGCUGCCUGAGGUAAGCGGCGUUGAAGCCCCGGUCCCGCGCAACGGGCCCCCGUGAACCAUGUCAGGCGGGGAACCGAGCAGCAUUAAGCGGACCAGCCCGUGUGCCGCGGGGCGGCCGGGGCCGAGCUGGCUGCCGCAGUAACGGAUGUGUCACGUGUUCGACCGAGGGUGUGCAG